rnacentral:rRNA from 1 species
UGGAAGAACUCUCUUUAAGGAACUCUGCAAAAUAGCACCGUAUCUUCGGUAUAAGGUGUGGUUAGCUUUGUAUUAGGAUUUACUCCGAAAGCAAGGAAACUUACAACAAAGAGUCCCUCCCGACUGUUUACCAAAAACACAGCACUCUGCUAACUCGUAAGAGGAUGUAUAGGGUGUGACGCCUGCCCGGUGCUCGAAGGUUAAUUGAUGGGGUUAGCAUUAGCGAAGCUCUUGAUCGAAGCCCGAGUAAACGGCGGCCGUAACUAUAACGGUCCUAAGGUAGCGAAAUUCCUUGUCGGUUAAAUACCGACCUGCAUGAAUGGCGUAACGAGAUGGGAGCUGUCUCAAAGAGGGAUCCAGUGAAAUUGUAGUGGAGGUGAAAAUUCCUCCUACCCGCGGCAAGACGGAAAGACCCCGUGGACCUUUACUACAGCUUGACACUGCUACUUGGAUAAGAAUGUGCAGGAUAGGUGGGAGGCUUUGAGUAUAUGACGCCAGUUGUAUAUGAGCCAUUGUUGAGAUACCACUCUUUCUUAUUUGGGUAGCUAACCAGCUUGAGUUAUCCUCAAGUGGGACAAUGUCUGGUGGGUAGUUUGACUGGGGCGGUCGCCUCCCAAAUAAUAACGGAGGCUUACAAAGGUUGGCUCAGAACGGUUGGAAAUCGUUCGUAGAGUAUAAAGGUAUAAGCCAGCUUAACUGCAAGACAUACAAGUCAAGCAGAGACGAAAGUCGGUCUUAGUGAUCCGGUGGUUCUGUGUGGAAGGGCCAUCGCUCAAAGGAUAAAAGGUACCCCGGGGAUAACAGGCUGAUCUCCCCCAAGAGCUCACAUCGACGGGGAGGUUUGGCACCUCGAUGUCGGCUCAUCGCAUCCUGGGGCUGGAGCAGGUCCCAAGGGUAUGGCUGUUCGCCAUUUAAAGCGGUACGCGAGCUGGGUUCAGAACGUCGUGAGACAGUUCGGUCCCUAUCUGCCGUGGGCGUAAGAAGAUUGAAGAGAUUUGACCCUAGUACGAGAGGACCGGGUUGAACAAACCACUGGUGUAGCUGUUGUUCUGCCAAGAGCAUCGCAGCGUAGCUAAGUUUGGAAAGGAUAAACGCUGAAAGCAUCUAAGCGUGAAGCCAACUCUAAGAUGAAUCUUCUCUAAGCUCUCUAGAAGACUACUAGUUUGAUAGGCUGGGUGUGUAAUGGAUGAAAGUCCUUUAGCUGACCAGUACUAAUAGAGCGUUUGGCUUAUCUUUAAUAAAGCAU